UAGAGGGAAUGAAGUUCUCCCUUGGUAAUAAAAUUAUUUAAACCGCUUAUAAAAGCUGAUGACUUCUGCGAA
rnacentral:ncRNA from 1 species